UACGAAGGGGCUAGCGUUGUUCGGAAUUACUGGGCGUAAAGCGCACGUAGGCGGAUCGAUCAGUCAGGGGUGAAAUCCCAGGGCUCAACCCUGGAACUGCCUUUGAUACUGUCGAUCUGGAGUAUGGAAGAGGUGAGUGGAAUUCCGAGUGUAGAGGUGAAAUUCGUAGAUAUUCGGAGGAACACCAGUGGCGAAGGCGGCUCACUGGUCCAUUACUGACGCUGAGGUGCGAAAGCGUGGGGAGCAAACAGG
rnacentral:rRNA from 1 species